UACGAAGGGGGUUAGCGUUGCUCGGAAUUACUGGGCGUAAAGCGCACGUAGGCGGAUCGUUAAGUCGGGGGUGAAAUCCUGGAGCUCAACUCCAGAACUGCCUUCGAUACUGGCGAUCUCGAGUUCGGGAGAGGUGAGUGGAACUGCGAGUGUAGAGGUGAAAUUCGUAGAUAUUCGCAAGAAAACCAGUGGCGAAGGCGGCUCACUGGCCCGAUACUGACGCUGAGGUGCGAAAGCGUGGGGAGCAAACAGG
rnacentral:rRNA from 1 species